UACGAAGGGGGCUAACGUUGCUCGGAAUCACUGGGCGUAAAGCGCACGUAGGCGGAUCUUUAAGUCAGGGGUGAAAUCCUGGAGCUCAACUCCAGAACUGCCUUUGAUACUGGGGAUCUCGAGUCCGGAAGAGGUGAGUGGAACUCCGAGUGUAGAGGUGAAAUUCGUAGAUAUUCGCAAGAACACCAGUGGCGAAGGCGGCUCACUGGCCCGGUACUGACGCUGAGGUGCGAAAGCGUGGGGAGCAAACAGG
rnacentral:rRNA from 1 species